rnacentral:rRNA from 1 species
CAGAAUGGAAUGGUCGUCGCUUAACGGAUAAAAGUUACCCCGGGGAUAACAGGCUGAUACCACCCAAUAGUUCAUAUAGACGGUGGUGUUUGGCACCUCGAUGUCGGCUCGUCACAUCCUGGAGGUGAAGUCGCUUCCAAGGGUUGGGCUGUUCGCCCAUUAAAGUGGCACGCGAGCUGGGUUCAGAACGUCGUGAGACAGUUCGGUCCCUAUCCGUCGUGGGCGCAGGAAAAUUGAGAGGAGCUAUUCCUAGUACGAGAGGAUCGGAAUGGACAUACCUAUGGUGUAUCUGUUGUCACGCCAGUGGCAGUGCAGAGUAGCUACGUAUGGAAUGGAUAACCGCUGAAAGCAUCUAAGCGGGAAGCCAACUUCAAGAUGAGUUUUCCCAUUUUUUAAAAAGUAAGUUCCCAGAAAGACUAUCUGGUUGAUAGGUUAGAGGUGGAAGCAUGGUGACAUGUUGAGCUGACUAAUACUAAUAGAACGAGGAUUUAAUCCUA